rnacentral:pre_miRNA from 1 species
GGCCUCCCUCUGUGGGGCGAUCGAUCUGGAAGCCCCGUGAUUGAUCACCCUGCAGAGGGAGGCC